rnacentral:tRNA from 1 species
GUACAGGAGGACUAGUGGUUAGGCCACAUUGCUCUCAGCACUGUGGCCCAGGUUCGAUUCCUGGCCAGGGAA